CUCGGGCGCAGGGCACUACUGCGGAGGCGAGCGCGGCCAGGGGCUUCCCCUGCAGCCGCCGCGGGCAGCGCGAGGCCGAGCCCCCAGGGCCGCUUAGCGGCGCGUGGGGCUGCGAAGGGGAAGGCGAAGCCCCCGACCCCCUCUCCUCCCUGCCCCCGCGGCCCCUCGUAGGCGAAGCGGAGUCCUCCGCGCACCCUCGGCCCCCCCGAGCGAAGGAAGGAUGCAGCCCCUGAGGGGCAGGGGCUUCCUAGAGACGCACGUGGGUGGCCGAGGCGGAGGUCAGGGUUAGGUGCUGCUCUCGUGCCAAGCACUUACGCAGCCCGUGGGUCUGAAGCGGUUUCCAACUGUGACCCCCGUUUGCCUCUCGGAGAUGUGUGCGUUUGAAAUCCAGGCUGUCGAUGUAUGAUUCCACUUGUCAAAUUGCACAAGAGGUUGCUGAAAAGAUCCAGGAACGUAACCGUUGUCAAAGAAAUGGGGAAAGUUCAUCAAAGCUUAAUGUGGCAGUAAGGUCAUUGUUGCAGAAUCUCAAGGAAAAGAUCAACCAUCUGAAGGACUUACUGCUUCAAGCUAUAUCAACACACCAAAUAACUCAGCUGGAGGGGGAUAGAAGGCAAAGCUUACUGGAUGACCUCCUCACACGACAAAGACAACUUCAAGCGUCCUAUAAGAACGAUGGUACAGAAACAGAUGUGAUAAGAUCUAGCCUAAUGACUGGAGGGGUCAAACGAGGUGUAACAAACCCAUGGCUCCUGGAAGAAUCUGAGGAAACCAGAGACCUUAGCUUUGAUGAUAUCAGACAGCAGCAGCAGAGAAUCAUACAAGAGCAAGAUGCUGGGCUCGAUACGCUCUCCUCAGUCUUAUCCCGGCAAAAACAAAUGGGGCACCAAAUUGGUAAUGAACUGGAUGAACAGAAUGAGAUCAUUGAUGACCUAACCAAUUUAGUAGAAAACACAGAUGACAAGCUUCGCAAUCAAACUCGGCAUGUGAAGAUGGUGGACAAGAAGUCAACUUCCUGUGGGAAUUUCCAAUCUCUAAACCUCAGCCCCCUUUGGAGAGGUUGGAAAAACUGGCUUUAUGAAGGAUGGCUUUAUGAAUGUGAGGCAUUGUCCCAAGGUGCUUCCAUUUGAAUGGGAUCUCUCACCAUUUACCAAUCCUCUUUGCCCCUUAUCUGGAAGAUGCAUUAUGCAGCCAUGGCAGCAGAUGGGAUGCUGGUGGUGAUUGUCUUGUUGCUGAUUGCAAUAGCAGUGGUUGCCGUCUGGCCAACAAAAUAAUAUGAAUUCAGGGACUAUCAGAGAACCUGUGUAUCAACGGUGGAGUAUGAAAGACACCAGAGCAGAACAACAGAAGUGCAAACACAUUUUGUGUUUUUAAAUAAACUCAACAGUAUUAGAAUGAAGCUGUGUCCCACAUGCAUCAGUUUCUGCGCAAAGUCCAUAGCCAGACAGUUGUGGCUAGCUUGAAAAGGGCUCCUUUACUACCUGAAUUUUGUAUUUAAAGGGGGCACAACUGGAGAUAGACACUUUUUUUUUAUAAUUUACUCCUUGAUGCACCCAUUUCUAAGCAAGUGAUCAUAUAGAUCUGCCAUGCCCCCUCUCCCUUGUGUCAACACCAACUGUCCUGUGGGUUUCAGUUUUCUAUAAACUCUUAAGACAUGAUUCUUGUAGUACAUACAUGGAGCUCUUUCACUCUAGUGCUUCUCUUGAGAAUUAAGACUUUUUCAUCUUACAAGGACGUGAAUGUUUUAAAGAGCUCGUUUAUACUGGAUAUCCAGAAAGUCUGAGAGCGGGUAUAACCCUACAAUGAUGUCUGAUGGUAAGGGUGGAAGGGGAUUGAUUUAGUAUUUCAGAUAAACCUUAGAAGUGUAUUCAAGUAUGACUCAGUUUUUGGCUGUUGUGAGAGAAUUAUCAGUGUUGAUCUCCGCAAAUAGAAAUGUGAAUAGCUGAGGGUCUUUUCAAGGUUUUGUACAGCCAGGUGCAUACAAGUGGAAAGCACUGCCCAAAAUGUGCUCAUGAGGAGCUGAGACUUUCUGGUAAGUGUGCUUUAACUUUAUACUGAGGCAAGUUUUAUCACAGCCAACUAAACUGCAGAAGAUAAAACAGAGUCCAUGUACUAAUCUCAAGCCCACAUUUCUGCUUCUCUUUCUUUUAUAAUGUUCCACAGUUUGUUAAACCUGCAAUGGAAAAUACAAGUAUUUAAAAUGCAUUAAUGAAAAAAAUGUAAUGCUUAUUUCUGGCCAAAAAUUAUUAUUUUCAUAUGUGCCAACUUGAUUGUCUGAAUGGAUAGAGCAAGCAAUAGCACUGAAUAAAAGUCAACUUGUUUAUA